UGUCCUUCCAAAAUUCCUAUGUUGAAAUCUAAUCCCCAUUGUGAUGGUAUUGGAGAUGGAGCCUUUGGGAGGUAACUAGGUCAUGAGGGUGGAGCCCUCAUGAAUGAGAUUAGUCCCCUAAAAGAGAGGCCAGAGAACCAGCUCACCAUACUUUUUCCACUUAAGUAACACAGUACUCUGUAGACCAGGAAGAGGAUGCUCACCAAGUACUCAAUCCUGCUGGAAACCUGAUCUCAGACUUCCAGCCUCCAAAACUCUCUUGCCAUGUGACAUGCCUGCUCCCCCUUCACCUUCCACCAUAAUUGAAGGCUUCCUGAGACCUCACCAGAAGCUGAACAGAUGCCCAUGCCAUGCUUCCUGUACACCUUCAGAACCGUAGUGCAAAAUUCCACAUCCACAAAACCCACCUGGCCAGUGAUGGCUUGGGUAAGGACGGAGAAUGCAGUGGGAUCAGAACCCUAGAGUGGGCAUGAAGAGGAGAAAAAAAUUCUGAAAUCACCACGGAAACACUACAGAGUGCUAUGAAUUCUCUUUCAUGCUGAGCCUUGAGACAGGCAGAAGCCAGAGUUACACAGCAGCAGAGGGAACCAAAAGCUGAGCAGGAGAACCCAGGCAUUAGCACUGUCAGAAAACAACACAGUGAAGCUCACAGCAGCCAGCCCUGAGAACCAUCGUAU